GUGUCAGCCGCCGCGGUAAUACGGAGGGUGCGAGCGUUGUCCGGAAUCACUGGGCGUAAAGGGCGCGUAGGCGGCUCGUUAAGGGUGCGGUGAAAGCCCGGGGCUUAACCCCGGGUCGGCCGUGCCGACUGAUGAGCUCGAGCACUGUAGAGGCAGGUGGAAUUCCGGGUGUAGCGGUGGAAUGCGUAGAGAUCCGGAAGAACACCAGUGGCGAAGGCGGCCUGCUGGGCAGUGGCUGACGCUGAGGCGCGACAGCGUGGGGAGCAAACAGGAUUAGAAACCCCCGUAGUCC
rnacentral:rRNA from 1 species